rnacentral:rRNA from 1 species
AUUGAACGCUGGCGGCAGGCCUAACACAUGCAAGUCGAACGAGUGGCGGACGGGUGAGUAAUGUCUGGGAAACUGCCCGAUGGAGGGGGAUAACUACUGGAAACGGUAGCUAAUACCGCAUACCAUCGGAUGUGCCCAUAUGGGAGUGGGUAGUAGGGGGGGUAACGGCUCACCUAGGCGACGAUCCCUAGCUGUUCUGCGAGGAUGACCAGCGACACUGGACCUUGGACACGGUCCAGACUCCUACGGGAGGCAGCAGUGGGGAAUAUUGGACAAUGGGCGCAAGCCUGAUGCAGCCAUGCCGCGUGUAGGAUGAGGGCCUUCGGGUUGUAAGGUACUUUCAGCGAGGAGGCGUUACUCGCAGAAGAAGCACCGGCUAACUCCGUGCCAGCCGCCGCGGUAAUAC